AGCCUCCAGCCAGGCACGCUGGGGACAGGUGGGACCUCCUGGAGCUGCCUGGGGGGCCUGGUGAUGCCAGCCUACGGCAGUCAUACUGCCCACACUGCCAAGAGCCCACAUGGGCAAGGGCCAAAGACCUCCAGCCCACCAGCACCACCCCCUACUCCACCCCAACUUCAGGCCGUGCCUCCAUUUUUCCAGCUGUCAAGAAAGCCCUUACCAAGAGGCCCAGGCUCUGUGGGCUCCAGCUCUGCAUUUCCUGGUUCUGGUGUGGAGAGAGAGCAUGAUGAGGAGCAACGAUGUGUCUGCCUGGUUCAUCGCUGAAUCCCCAGGGCCUAGCCCAGCACUUGGCACGUGGUAGGGACUCAACACAUUGCUGCUGAAUGAAUGAAUGUUGGCCCUGCUAGGA